GUGAUCCAAUUUCACAUGGCCAGGCCCAAGGCCCAAAACCGAUACCACCGAGGUUCAAUAUCCAUUUUCACAACUUAUCACCACGCCCGUCGUACAACAGCUUGCUCCAUACCCAAAGCUCUCCAAACGACUCCGUUGGCUCCGCCGCGGGCGCCACCGCGCCCAUCGUCAGCAACACUCUGUAACAUUCGCCGUUGGAAAAUGACUAAUUUGACAAUUUUGAUCAAGUAUGAUGGGAAGUGGGUGAAUUCCUCAUAUAGGGGUGGCAAAACUAAGGCAUUAGUUGUUUCUGAAAAACUUACUUAUGAGGAGCUUCAAGAUAGACUGUAUGGUCUCAUGAAGGUCGACCCAAAUGAAUAUGGAAUUAUAAUGAAAGCUGUAUAUAGUGGAAAGUCUCAUCCGUAUCCUGCGGAAGUAGUAGAUGAUAAUGACGUGGCUGCAUUUAUUUGUGAGAGUGUUGCACGGGACUGGAAAAUUCCAUUGUGCGUUACUCUUGAAUGCAGGGUAUUAGCUUCUGGAAGUGGAAGUAAUCAACAAGCUCCAAUCGGCCUUGCAACUCAUACUACAAAAUCUCAUUCAUUAGAUCCCCACACUCAACAUGAAGAACAAAAUUCCUUUGACUUCAUUUCCAGUCCAAUGCCAAUGGACUUCAGUUCAGGGACUCAAGCAAAUUCGGAUUGUGUUGAUGGAUUGAUCCAUGAUGAUUUCGAAAAUGAUAAGGAGCAUGAUAAUAUAGAAGUUGAUGUGGAACAAAACAACCUGCAACAUGAUGAUGUGCCUUGUGACAAGCUGCAACUUUCUGAGGUGCCUCAGCCAAACUUGCAAUUUGAUGAUUUGCCUCAUGACAGCAGGCAAUUUGAUAAUAUGUAUCAUGAAAAUAUGCAAUUUUGCGAUCAUCAUCUCAAUCCUCCUAAAUCUCUACCUCGAGCUCGGUCUUGGCGUAAACUCACAGAAGAAAUGGUUAAUAGGAUGCUGAAUUCGGGGUUGAAAGCAGGGGGAGAUAUGGAACUAGGUUCAGUGUACAAGAGCAAAAAGGAUUUACAGAAGAUGUUAGCCCUUGCUGCAAUUAAAAGAAGUUUUGAGUUCAAAGUUAAGAGGUCCACGAGAAAGAGAUUUUCUGUUGAAUGUGUGAAUGACAACUGCGCGUGGAAAGUCCAUGCAACCAAGUCGCCAGACUCUGAUUAUUUCAUGAUAACAAAAUAUGAUAGUCGCCACUCUUGUUCAUCAGAUGCUAAAAAUCUCAGUUCGUUAGAUGCAAAAAAUGGCAGUCACCGACAAGCAAGCAGCUUGCUCAUUGGUGAGUUUGUAAAGUCAAAAUACAAGGGUGUUUUGUGCCAAUGCAAGCCGAAAAAUAUCAUUGAGGAUGUGCAGAAAGAUCUUGGAGUGAAUAUAAGUUAUUCGACAGCUAAGAGGGUUUUGGAUUGUGCAUUGAAAGAUGUUGGGGUAUCAUCACCAGAACUUUCUUCUAAACAGGCGUCAAGUGAAAGGUGCAAGAAGGAAAGAACUCCGUCUCAACCAAAAAAAAUGUCCCGUGGAGAAGAGCAGUCUACACGGAAUUGUGGAAAAUGUGGCUCAACUGGUCAUUACCGUAAAACCUGCAAGAACCCUAUUACUCUUCAUCUUAAUUCCGAAAGUGAGUUUGCUGCCUAGAACUGGGGCGUGGAUAGCCCUAAACUGUAGUAAAUUAUUAUCUAGAGACAAUGCAUUUUUCAUCUUUUCUACUGUUGUAAACUUUUCAUGUUUUCAUUGACACUUUUUAUUAAGCUUUGAAACUAGCUUGACAUAACUUCAAGUGAUGUAGCUGAAACAAAAAGUUUUGAAGUACUUUACUUGAAGCCUUCUGAGCCUGCUGGAAAAGAUUUCAAGUAUGGUACAUGAAACCAUUUGAACAUUCAAAAUGGUUAUGAAAAGACUACUGAAAACAAGUUGAGUCCAACCCAAAAUGGUUCAAGCUUAGCAUUUUGAACGAUGUUGAAGAGAACUACAUAAAACCCAACUGCUUGGGCUUGUUAUGGUUUGGAGUAAGAUUUUGACAUCCUUUGUAUGUCGUAUAUUCUUACCCUCAAAGGGAGCAGUGCAGAAAAGGGGUAUGAUGCUUACUAUUCAUGUGAAAAUGAUGUUAUUUUGGCUUAAUACUCCAGCAGUGAAGAAUGGCGUGAAACAAGGGGCUUUAUGGCUUCUCUAGAUCCACUGGUGAAGCAAAGUUGCGUGCGCACAGAGCAUUUGGUGCGACUAUUACCUGUGAUCCUGCCGGUGUAAUUGGAUCUGUCAGUGAUACACAUCUAUGGGGGACACUUGAAAUGUUCACUUUAGCGUUUGCAUAUGGCCUCUUCUUUGAAGGUGGCAAACGGCCUGGCUCUUGCUGGAGCUUCUGUGGGAAAAUUGCUGUAUGCCAAUUAUGGCAUUGACCCGUUGAAUCUAUAUUUCAUAUAUUGAGAGAGAUUGCAGCAGAGCUCAAAGCAUUUGGGAGACAUCAGAGUGCCAAGCCAGCUUGUUACUCCUUUUAUUGGAUUAUAUGGCCUCAAUGCUGGCUAAUCCUUAAAGAAAAACACCUGUAGUGUGAUAAUCUUGAAGGGAGUAGCCUGUUGAUCUUCACAUGGUAUCUGUGGGAGGUUGGCUGGAAGCCAGUUCCCCUAUUCUCCAAAACCAACUGGAAGUACAGGUCUUUCUUGCUUAGGAGCCUCCUGAAAUGGAAUGGCAGAAUAUGAAUGUUGAUGUGCCGAGGAGAAUGGCAUCUGGCGGAAUUAGAGCAGGGAAAGUAAUUUAAACCAAUCUUGGCAAGGGAUAUUGAAGUAGAAAUCUGGGGAUUACAGUUUAAGCUUGCAGUUUGCAAUUUAGAAGAAGGCACUAAAAUAUGUAUUCAGAUUUCAGACGGACUUGGCUAUUAUUGCAAAAUUGAUGAAACAAGAGAGAAGAAUGCAGUGGCACACGGGAUGGCAAAUGGAGCUACAACCCUGAUUUGGAGUGACCACGCUAAGCAUCUUAGGGCUGUUUGUUUUUCUUCCCCCACCUUUAGAGAAUCGUGUUUAGACCUUCGUUGCAUUAUUUUUAUGGAGUCAUUGCUGGAAACUUACUGCUGCUUUUCUUUUUCUUUCUUGGUCGAUUGGACGUUGUUCUGUUUAUGUGCAGAUUGCAGAUCAUGAUCAAGGAUGUUAAUGAGCAGUUGCAGUCAUCUGUCAAGAGAAGCUAUAGCUUCUUAUUGGAAAUUUGUCCUAUGCUGCUGAGUACGGUGAGAAAUGGUAAAUUAUGCUCUCUAUCUCUCUCUCGUUGCACGACAUGUUAGGUGAUGAGAGAGACAUAAAACGUGAGUGUUUGAACCCACGAAGCCAAGUUUUUUUCUUGCUAAUAAGACCGGUUGCUUUGAUAGUUCAUUGUUCUUUUCUGACCAAAACCAGAUUAUUAACAAUGUGGUUUGGUUUGGUGACA